GCCGCCAGAUGUGCCUGCCUUUCUGGGCUUUGAUGAGAAAGGGGCAGCAGGAGGAAAUAUUGGGAGACAAAAGCCCCGGUUUAAAUGAUCAUUUUCUUUAUUUAACAUGGCAGCAGACACUCUCUGCGUAGGAUCAUCAUGCCGAGCAUAAACUGGACUUUCCCACUUGCCUGGCAGGAGUCACACAGAUCCCUGCGUGCUAAAUGAACAUCUGAGACCCUUGAAUCCUGACUAUUGGAGAAACAGCACCAUAUUUUGGAUACUGAUUCAGACCAUAUACAGCCUUCUGGAGAAUCUUGCCCCAGUCCUGAAAGGUUUUGGUAUCAGGAUGAUGCUGGCAUCAUAAAAUGAGUAUUUUUCUUCAGACUUCAGACUGCUGUGCUGGAAGCAAGAAUUUCAAGCAUUGGAUCUUAGCUUGCUGGGCUCCAUAGGGGUGGGAUCCACUGAGCUAGACCACUUGGCUCCCUGGCUUCAGCCCCCUUCCAGAUGUCCUUGGCGUGUACACCCUGUGGAAUCUGGUUCAUCUUCAAUCUGUCAGAAGGCAUCAGAGGUGGUUUUGACUCCUUAUGUCUUGGACCUGUGCACAAAAAGUGUAAAAUGGAUGGAACAUCAGACAGCUCAUUAUAGAGACAAGUAAGCUCCAGUUCCAAAGUUGGUUGACAGAACAAGUCAUGACCUUGUGUGGAGGAAAAUGAGAUCCCGAGUGAAGUCUACAAUGUCAUUGACUCUGAAGAAGGACUCAGAGACCCAUUGGUGUUUAAUGACCCUUACUGGCCUAUGCAAUGGAAACUGAUCUUGAGUGUGCCUUAAAAUUCCAUUUCAUGGAGAACUGUGCGUGGUUGAAUUUUGAUUGAUUACUCAAUUAACUGAUGUAUUGGUAGAGUGAUUAAGAAAGAAGACUUUGGGAUCAGACCAACCUGGUUUUGAAUUCAAGCUCAGCAACUUACUAGGUAAGGAGGAGAAAAGAAAGAAGGAAAAAUUGGAAAGAUAAAUGGGGUCUUUCCAGUGAAGCCUCCAGGCCUCCAGACUGGAACUUAUACCACUGAUUCUUCUGAAUCUUAGGCCUUUGGACUUGGACUGGAACUAAACCAUCAGCUCUUCUUGUUCUACCACUUGCAGACUGUAUGUCUUGGGACAUGUCAGCCUCUGUAAUCACGCUCAAUUUUCCUACAUAAUUAAGAGUUUGGAAUUCGGGCAAUAUCAAGAACCACAUCUGUCCUGAAAUCAAUUAUCUCUGUUUGAUACAGAAUCUGAGGAGGGUGGCUCUGUUAUUCUGAUGGAAUGAAUGCUCAGUGAGAUCAAAAUCAAGUCAUUGAGGAUGCCAGGAGAGUCUGGGGCAUCCUCAGGUACCCUGCAGGGUUUGUGGGGAGGCUGCUGGACUUACAGAUUGUUGUGGAUUUCAUCCUGGAUGGUUUACUGAGCUCUUUGGGGUUCCUGAGGUGAAAAUUACAGCAAUUUUAAGAGUCUGACACACUUUCCAGCUGAUAGCACUAAAAACAUGACUUGUAGCCUCCUCUCUUUUUCCUGUUUGCUUCUCUGAAUGAAGAUGGCAGAACUAAUCUGUAUGAACUAUUAUCUGUUAUGUGAAUUUUUAUGAAUUAAACUAAUUUAUCUUUAAAAAUCCAUUUUUUUCUCUAUGAGCAACUUAUGCAAUGGAAUGGACCUACUAUAUUUGUCAAAGUUAUUAGAGUCCCGGGUUUUUAAUUACUAGUUUGAACCCCACAGCUCUUCUGGUAAAAUGUGGACUGCAUACUGAAGGGAAAACAAAAUAACAGAUUAUGCAAUAUACAAAUAGAAUUACCAGUGACUUAUUCUCCUUUAAGUCAACAUUUAAUGCAAUGGUUUUUGCUCUGGAUCUCAUA
ensembl:lncRNA novel transcript